CCUACGGGGGGCUGCAGUGAGGAAUAUUGGUCAAUGGGCGGAAGCCUGAACCAGCCAAGUAGCGUGCAGGAUGACGGCCCUACGGGUUGUAAACUGCUUUUAUACGGGAAUAACGCGCCUUACGUGUAGGGCUUUGUAUGUACCGUAUGAAUAAGGACCGGCUAAUUCCGGGCCAGCAGCCGCGGUAAUACGGAAUGUCCGGGCGGUAUCCGGAUUUAUGGGGUUUAAAGGGAGCGUAGGCCGCAUGUCAAGCGUGCUGUGAAAUGUCCGGGCUCAACCCGGGCCUUGCAGCGCGAACGGGCGUGCUUGAGUCCGCGGAAAGCAGGCGGAAUUCGUCGUGGAGCGGUGAAAUGCUUAGAUAUGACGAAGAACCCCGAUUGCGAAGGCAGCUUGCUGCAGCGGAACUGACGCUGAUGCUCGAAAGCGCGGGUAUCGAACAGGAUUAGAUACCCCUGUAGUC
rnacentral:rRNA from 1 species